ensembl:lncRNA
AGAUAGAUAGAUAGAUAGAUAGAUAGAUAGAUAGAUAGAUAGAUAGAUAGAUAGAUAGACUUCAUAAACACUGUAAGAAAAGCAUUAAUCAUUGAUUUAAUACUCUGUCUGCUUUUCGUUUCAGAGGCGUUUUCAAAAGAGGACAGCUAAUUCUGAAAAAUGGUCAAAAUCAAGCCAAACGCAUGAAUGUGAGCAGACGUCUGAGCUAAUGUCUAGGAUCAGGAGCCUUUUCUGUGGGCUAAGAAAAGGAAAUUGCGCCCCCUACCGAACCAAACUCUGCUUUCUGACUCUGUUCUGAGCCAGAGGCUUUUCUCCAUCAACAUGAACAUGUGCCAGCACGCCGCUCCUCAAUCAGAUGACCUUGGCAGCGGGACGCAGCCGACGGUCUCGGAGCGAAAGAGCCAUCCAUCACGCUGCAGACAGACCGCCUGUCACUCCGUUAUCAAGCCUCUGAAAACUCAGACUGAUGUCUCAGGGAGCCAUAUGGAGAGGAGAUCCAGUAUUUACUCGGAGGAGCUGUGAUUCAUGGCUAAGUGAUACUCAACAAAUGGUGUAUGAGGGCCAAAAAAAGAAGAGUACGAGAGUUCAGCGAAUGACCUUAAAUGACACCACAUCAGUCAGGAUGCUGUGUUUGUGCACAUGCUGUGUCGAUCGGCCGUGUCUCACCCUGCUCGAUCGUUCACAUCUGUGGAGAUGAAAGGCGAGGGAGAGAAACGCUUUCAUAUGCCAAAGGAAGCAUUUCAUUGCAUGCUGUGCAAAAACAACAAGACUACAUGUGUGUGUGCAUCACACUCCAUUAUUUGAGCCACCCAGACAGAAAAAGAGCCAGUCAAGAAGGACAAGGUUGCAUCACCAUCCACAGGCUAAAUAUAUAUAUCAUACGGGUCAUUUCCAGUCAAUGACACGAUUUUUGAUGGUUAAACCAAGAAGUCGAUGUUUUGUUGGUUAGCAUGGAAAACAGCAUCUUUCUCCAUGGAUGGCCAUUCAGCCCAAACACAAAGGUGUACUUCUCAAGUAAUGUAAGUGGGUCAUAAAGCAUUUGGACUGUUGUAUAAAAUAUUAUGUUCCAUCAGUCAAACUCUGCCUGCAGUGUGAUAGGAGAUGGAAACUUGGCUAAACAUCCAGUGUCUAUUGUAUGAAGAGAGAUUGAGCACUAGAAACAGAAGUUAUUGAUAUAAACUGUGGUAAUAUUUAUCUUGUAACCAGAGAUCUGACUGUGGAACAAGGCGAGCCGUCUUCUGUGUGCUAACGUCCUGCGGUUGCCAGACGACACACCUAAUCAUUUCUUCUGCUCGAGUCAGCAUCUGACGCAAGUGCAAAGUGUUUCUGUCAGAAGAUAACAAAAGAUCACAGUCGAUGGUCUCCUGCAGUCUGACUUUAAGAGUGCUCCAGAUGCAUCAUCGUGGCAUGUUUGUGCUUCUGUUGUCUGUUGAAAUGGUGCGUCCAGGUCCAGUGAAUGCGCUCAUGCAGAUUCUUGGAAAUGAGCAGGAUUUUUACAUUACAAUGAACUCAGUAACUGAGGGUCAAUGUGUUACAAGCCAACUAAAACAGAAUGAACAAAUAUAAGGCACUGAUUAUGCUAACAUCUUUUAUUUUUAUUCAUUUUGACAUUGAUUUAAAGAUUUGGCAAACAUUUUUUAUAUAUAUAUAUAUAUAUAUACUUUUGAAGUAUUUUUUUUUUAUUUAUUUUCAAAUUUUGAUAUCAAUUUUUGAUAUGUGGUGACAUCUGAAUAUGUGGUGGAUGUUUUGGGGUUCAGCAUGGCAAUUUUUUUUUUAUUUCUAUACAUUAUUUUUUUUUUAUGUCAGAAUUUUUAUUUUUUAUAUUUUCUUUAUAGAGCUAUCUGAAAAUAUCUGGAACAUUUUGUGCUUAGAUGGCAAACUUUCUGUACAUUUCUAUGCUUUUUGUUUUUCAAAUGUUUGUCAAUUUGUUUUUAUAUAGCUAUGUGAAAAUGUAGACAUUUUAUGGUGGGCAAACUGUUUAUUUCUGUACUUUUUUUUCAAAUUUUAUAGCAAUGUUUAUUUUUAGAAAGAUAUUUGAAAACGUGGGAUGUUUUAUGAUUCUGCAUGACAAACAAGUUUUUAUUUCUAAAUAUUAUUGAUCUAUUUAUUUAUUUAUAUUAUUAUUAUUUUUAUUUUGAUGUCAAUAUGUAUUUUUAUAAAGUUUUCUGAAAAUGUGACAUUUUGUGGUUCUGCAUAUAAAACUGUGUUUUAUUUCUAUACAUUUCCAUAUUUUACGUUUUGAUGUUAAUAGUUAUUUUUAUAAAGCUAUCUGGAAACAUAUGGUGGACAUUUUGUGGAACUGUACAACAAAAUUAAAAUAUGUUUUGACAGCUGUGUUACUUGUUGUGACAAAACUGUGCUUAGUUUAGAUAAAUAUGUCUAAUCAGUUGAGAAAAACAAUGUUGCAAUAUUAAAGCUAAAGCCCAGAUAGGGUUUAAAUGCAUCUGUGAUCUUUCACGUAAAAAGUCCAGAUCUGUACACACCUCAACCGAGAUCUGACACAGAUCUGAAUCAUACAGCACAGCUGUAGACAAACAUGUGUAUGUGUACUCGAUGAUCAAGAGCAAUCAUGCCUUCUGGACUGUUAUCAAGAAAAUAUUUAAUAAACAUGGUAACAACACAUCCUUAAACA